rnacentral:rRNA from 1 species
AUUGUAGUCUGCAACUCGACUACAUGAAGCUGGAAUCGCUAGUAAUCGCAGAUCAGAAUGCUGCGGUGAAUACGUUCCCGGGUCUUGUACACACCGCCCGUCACACCAUGGGAGUUGGGAAUGCCCGAAGUCAGUGACCCAACCGAAAGGAGGGAGCUGCCGAAGGCAGAUUCGAUAACUGGGGUGAAGUCGUAACAAGGUAUC